rnacentral:lncRNA from 1 species
UCUGCUUGAGUUGAAUCUAUAGGCUCAUGUUGAUUCACCUCUUGAGUUGGGUUUGCUUCUACUUGAGUAGACAUUGCUAUACAAAGCAAAAAAAAUAAAUAAAAAUAAUUUCAAUAUCAAGCAGUGACAACAACAUACAUUUAGACUUUGAUCACACAAACAAAAUAUUUCAAGUAAAAGUGAAUCAACAUUAGUGGUUAAUCCAACGGUUAGAAACAAUCAGUGCAGUUGUUCUUACCGCGACAACUCUUUGCAUAGUUAUGAGCCCCCCUGGAACUUUCACCUCAGGUGAAAAUUUGGUCAUUAUUUUAUCUAAAAUGUCANNNNNNNNNNNNNNNNNNNNNNNNNNNNNNNNNNNNNNUAUCUUAUGGCCUUUCACUAAACAAUUCCUUAAUAUAUUCAAUUAAAAAUCAAUGCACUCUUGCAAAUCACAUAAUAUCAGUGGAGAGGCUAAAUCAAUAUAUGCAUAUAGAAAGUGAGGCCGAAGAAAUAAUAGAAGGAAAUCGCCCUCCUCUGUAUUGGCCAGUUGCAAAAAAAAAUUAAAAUUGUCUAGGUUUUGCGAAAAAAAAACUAACAACAAGAACAAAAAUUGUUUCAGUUUAUAAAGAGACAGAGAGAGAUGGAACCUGAGAGAGAGGCCUGACGGAGAGAGUGAGAGACGACGGUGUGAUAGAGACGGCUGCUCAAGAGAAUGAGAGAUGGAAUGGAGGUAGGGUUUCUAUUUCUAAUGUAUAUGCGUGAAAUCUAAAAACAAAUAUAUUU